GGUUCUGCAGCUUAACAGGUUAAAACAUCAGCCUGUAAACAGAAGGUCCUGGGUUCAAAUCCCAGCAGUGCCU
rnacentral:tRNA from 1 species